rnacentral:misc_RNA from 1 species
UGGUUCUGGCAUCGAUGAAGAACGCAGCGAAAUGCGAUAAGUAAUGCGAAUUGCAGAAUUUAGUGAGUCAUCGAAUCUUUGAACGCACAUUGCGCCCUUUGGUAUUCCGAAGGGCAUGCCUGUUCGAGCGUCAUUAUCAACCCUCAAGCUCUGGCUUGUUGUUGGGUAUUUAGAAGUGAUUUUCACCUCUAACCCGAAAGACAAUGACGGUGUUCUGAUGGAAGCCUGGUACAAUGAGUCUUUAUAGGCACGUACUGCGGUUGACUUCUAAACCCGGUCUUCUUUAUAUUUUCUUAAGGUUGACCUCGGAUCAGGUAGGAAUACCCGCUGA